GACGAACCGUGCGAACGUUAUUCGGAAUCAUUGGGCUUAAAGGGCGCGUAGGUGGCGAUAUAAGUUGGAAGUGAAAUCCCAUCGGCUCAACCGUGGAAUAGCUCCCAGUACUGUAUCGCUCGAGGGGGAUAGGGGUCUGCGGAACUACCGGUGGAGCGGUGAAAUGUGUUGAUAUCGGUGGGAACGCCAGUGGCGAAAGCGGCAGACUUGACCCUUCCUGACGCUGAGUGCGCGAAAGCUAGGGGAGCAAACGGG
rnacentral:rRNA from 1 species